UCAUGCAUGAGCACUCCUCAUAGCAUGGGUUUUCUGUUUAUUUAGGUCGCUUUUACUGGGAGUUUUGAAACUGGCAAGAAAAUUAUGGCAUCGGCAGCUCCUAUGGUCAAGCCUGUUACACUGGAACUUGGUGGAAAAAGUCCUAUAGUAGUAUUUGAUGAUGUUGACAUUGACAAAGCUGUCGAGUGGACUCUGUUUGGGUGCUUUUGGACCAAUGGUCAGAUUUGCAGCGCGACAUCUCGUCUUCUUAUCCAU